rnacentral:tRNA from 1 species
GGAGAGAUGACUGAGCGGUUUAAAGUGGCGGUCUUGAAAACCGUUGUCCCUAAAGGACCCUGGGUUCGAAUCCCAGUCUCUCCG